rnacentral:miRNA from 1 species
UCUUUGGUUAUCAAGCAGUAUG